CUACUUUUAAAACAUCUUUCCAAACAUAUGCCUCAAAGACCAACUCGACCGGUACAAGACAACAUGAAUUCCUUUAACAGAAAAGAGGAAACUGCUUCGUGAGACGUUUGAGAGACUAUAGCGGAGGAGUCCCACUCACUGGUAAUUGUCAAUUGUUUCGUCUUUGAGAACAUAGGAAAGGACGCCAGUGUGAGUCUCAAAAAGCUCCCUUUCGUCAGAAAAAGGAUGUGAUACACUUUUAUUGAUGUGAUACACUUUUAUGUAAGGAUAUUGUUUUUUCUUUUGUUCAACCGUUAAAUUAUUACCAUUUGUGGUUAAUUAUGUGAUACUUGAAAUAUUCGAUUUGGUGACCCGCUUCCCAUUGUAUCUUAAACUUGGGUGUGAUCCCUGGUGAAAAGGUAGUCUCAAGCUAUGCUUCUGACUGGUACCCCGAACAAACAUAUUUUUCACAAGACAGAGAGACCGCCUAAAGCUCAUCAGUUGGUGGAGUGCAAGCAUGUUAAUCCAUAGGUCGCAGGUUCAAUUCCCACUCUAGUAAACUUUUCCUUUUGAUCAACUCAAAAUUAAAGACAAUUAUCUGAACGAAAACAAAUAUGGCAUGUUAAACAUGGACUAUAACGGUACUCCUACAUUAAAAUCACUAUCAGAACUUGUUUAUGUUGUGUUCAGCUAUCAAUUCAUUGUUGUGGUCAUGUUUUUCUCCAAAUAAUUUUGCUACAAUUUGACCGAAAAAUUUGACCUCGAUUCUUCGAUUUUGAAAUUUCCCGCCCUGUACUGGUUCCCGGCUAUUAAACCAACACUGAAAUCCAAGCGGAUUUGUAAACCAGCGGACGUCAUGAACGCGGUCAAAAAAUGGUGACGUCACACCCAUGAAGCAACGAGAGUAAACAAAGAUUACGCCAUGUUACUCCGUGUGUUGUGUAUGCGUUUUCAUCCACACUACAGCCAGGCGUGCGUGUGUGCUACGAAGCUUUUUGUUUCUAGUGUAUCAGCUAUAACAACUGCCGACUAUUUGGUUGUUUGUGGAUGCACUAGAAGUUUCAAAGUUUGUGUAAGAAGCCUGGAUCGAUUCCGAAAUUUAAACCUCUAAACGUCGAGAGAAUUCAGGGGGAUCUUCUACCACCAGGCCCCAGCCAGUGCUGCUUGUGCAUGCUACGAGUACGACGGUACGAUGGCCCUGGUCGCAAGUGGCCGUGGAACAGCAAAAUAAUCAAGUGGCAUUACAGAAAAUAGAGGGAGAAAAGCCUGAAAUAACUCGCAGCUCUACACUACAAUGAGAAUGCAGGACGAAGACAAUGCAGGACGGAGACAUGCUAGCCAGAACUAGAAAUGGAGACCUAAGAUUCUCAAUAGCACUUUAGAUACGCAAAGAAUGCAUG